CCUACGGGAGGCAGCAGUAGGGAAUAUUGCUCAAUGGGGGAAACCCUGAAGCAGCAACGCCGCGUGGAGGAUGAAGGUUUUCGGAUUGUAAACUCCUUUUGUUAGAGAAGAUAAUGACGGUAUCUAACGAAUAAGCACUGGCUAACUCCGUGACAGCAGCCGCGGUAAUACGGAGGGUGCAAGCGUUACUCGGAAUCACUGGGCGUAAAGAGCGCGUAGGUGGGAUAGCAAGUCAGAUGUGAAAGCCUAGGGCUUAACCAUAGAACUGCAUUUGAAACUGUUAUUCUAGAGUAUGGGAGGGGUAGGUGGAAUUCUAGGUGUAGGGGUGAAAUCCGUAGAGAUCAAGAGGAAUACUCAAUGCGAAGGCGACCUGCUAGAACAUAACUGACGCUGAUGUGCGAAAGCGUGGGGAGCAAACAGGAUUAGAUACCCCUGUAGUC
rnacentral:rRNA from 1 species